UACGUAGGGGGCAAGCGUUAUCCGGAUUUACUGGGUGUAAAGGGAGCGUAGACGGUAAUGUAAGUCUGAUGUGAAAGCCCGGGGCUCAACCCCGGGACUGCAUUGGAAACUAUGUAACUAGAGUACCGGAGAGGUAAGCGGAAUUCCUAGUGUAGCGGUGAAAUGCGUAGAUAUUAGGAGGAACACCAGUGGCGAAGGCGGCCGCCUGGCCUGUUGCUGACGCUGAGGCACGAAAGCGUGGGGAGCAAAUAGG
rnacentral:rRNA from 1 species